rnacentral:miRNA from 1 species
GGUAGUUACAGGAAUGGUGGCCUUUGGGGUCAGUCAGGCCUGGGUUUGCAUCCCAGCUCUGCCACUUAGUAGCUGUGUGAUCUUUGUCAAG